AGGAGUAUAGCUCAGUGGCAGAGCAGCACCCUCAUAAGGUGCCAGUCGCAGGUUCAAUCCCCGCUACUCCUACUA
rnacentral:tRNA from 7 species